AGGACAUAGACGUUGGCGCGCGUCAGCUGACAAAGAGAGAAAGGAAUAAAAGCAUAAAAGAAGGAGUAUAGUAAUACAGAUUAAAGUAUGGUUCCCCAGCAACAGGUGGGGUGGAGCAUGUUCCUCCAGGUGGACUGGGGUUAAUCAAGGGCUGUAACUCCGGACCCUACGAUUGGAUCUGACGGAUUCAUCAUGGAAUCCAAGACCUAUUGUUGUUAAAGAUAUUUUGCAACUUUGUAUUAAAUCAAACCAUAAAUAAAGUCUUUAUGGCUGCAAGUCAUAUUUUGGCCCUUUAAGGGGCCAGAACUCUGGAACCCAUGAUUGGAUCUGGCCAGUUUUCGAAAGGAACUGAGAUAUUAUGCCAAUGCAAGUUGUGUGUAAUUUACAACUAAAAUCAAAUACAAAAUGUGGUCUCUAUCAUGUUCACAAGAAAUUGUGGACGGACAACAUCGAUGGAACGAUCACAAAAGCUCACUAUGUCACUACGUGACAGCGGUGAGCUAAAAACAAAACAAAAAAUAUUGGGAAUGUCAGCAUUGAAUUUUCUGAUGGUAGAAGGCUUGAACUGCUCACAGAUUUUAUUUUGGCAUGUGUCUAUUAUGUAUGCAUUGAAUGCUAGUUCUGAUAUAUUUCAAGGUUGGGAAUUCUCAAAGAAAAAUUGAGCUGUUUAAAUUGGAUGUUGCGAAAAUCAUAUUUGAUCAAAGUGUUUACAAAAUAAUUUGAUCGGAUUUAACGAUCAAUCAUCUGUGGAUAAUCAUGGCAAGUUUCAGGUUCGUACUUUGAACUACACCGGCGUUCUGGCCCUCCAAAUGGACCUGGGUAUGGACACGUAUCAUAAACUUUACCGCAGAGGACAUUUUGAAAUGCUGUCCAUCACGCCGGAGUUAAAAAAAUACGAGAGGGAAAUUUGCUGUAAAAACUUAGAUUCUGUCUGUUUGUUUUGCUUUUAUGACCCGGGAGGUCAUGUAAUUAAUUGCAGUAUGCAUUGUUUAUACCUAUGUUUAAUAAUGAGCGAUUUUCAAUGCCAUACUAUAAGUAUUUGUCUCCUACAAAACAUACAAUCUGCUACA